rnacentral:rRNA from 1 species
CUCCAUAAGCGGAGGAAAAGAAACUAACUAGGAUUCCCUUAGUAACGGCGAGUGAACCGGGAUGAGCUCAAAUUUAAAAUCUGGCGUCUUUCAGGCGUCCGAGUUGUAAUCUAUAGAGGCGUUUUCCGCGCCGGACCGCGUCCAAGUCCCUUGGAAUAGGGUAUCAAAGAGGGUGACAAUCCCGUACUUGACGCGACAACCGGUGCUCUGUGAUACGUUCUCAACGAGUCGAGUUGUUUGGGAAUGCAGCUCUAAAUGGGUGGUAAAUUCCAUCUAAGGCUAAAUAUUGGCGAGAGACCGAUAGCGAACAAGUACCGUGAGGGAAAGAUGAAAAGCACUUUGGAAAGAGAGUUAAACAGCACGUGAAAUUGUUAAAAGGGAAACGAUUGAAGUCAGUCGUGUGAGGGGUAUUCAGCCGUCUCUGGCGGUGUAUUUGCCUCUCACGGGUCAACAUCAGUUUGAUUCGGUAGAAAAAGGCGGGAGGAAGGUGGCACCCUCGGGUGUGUUAUAGCCUCCUGUCAUAUGUGCCGGACCAGACUGAGGAACGCAGCUUGCAGCAAUGCCGGGGUUCGCCCACGUACAAGCUUAGGAUGUGACAUAAUGGCUUUAAACGACCCGUCUGAAACACGGGG